ensembl:lncRNA
CUCAGGGUCACCCGGAUUCCCCUUCCUGUGUCAGGAGGAUGCACCUCACCCGCCUGUGACUCUGAGGACCCCUCUGCCCUCUCUGGAGGGGGAUACAUCCGCCUCAUUGGUGUCAGGCAUGGACACGUGGCCUUUUGGCCAGUGGAAUGUGGGGGGACUGCCGUUUGCCACACCCGACCAUCAGCUUCAGGAGUCGCCAGCGUCUCCACCGCAGCUCACUCUCACCCUUCAUCUGAGACAGAACGUCCCUGUGGAGCUGAUCCUGCCACCAGACUGAGAACAGCGACAGCCAGCCUGUUGCUGCCGACACGAAGUUUGAGCGAGGUGUGGCCGUGUGUGGGUGAAGGCUACGGAGGUGGGGCUGUCUGUUACCGCAGCCGAGCUGACCGAGACACAGGCAGGAUGAGCUUCAUCCGUGAUGCACUGACGCUUAUUCAAACUGACCUUAUCGCAGUGUGAUUUAUGGACAAUAACAUGCGCACGUUUCAGGUGGACAUUUCACCAUGUGAACCUGUGCCUUUGUGUCUCCAGUCAAGAUGCAGAACGUUUCCAUCUCUUCGUAUCUCUUUAAAAUCUGUUCUCCCCACCCCUCAACUCAGUCACUGAUGGAUUUCUAUCAUUAUAGGAUUAGUCUCGCCACUUUUGGAACUUCAUAUAAAUACAGUCACUGGGAAUUCUUUUUGUGUCCUAACUGAGGAAUCAUUGCUGGUGGAUUUUCUCUUCUUUCCUUCCGGAAGUCACGUACCGUUAGCUUUCACAAAGAGCUCUGGGGCCAGAAGGUGUCUGGGAGCCCAGGCGAGUGGCAGUGCGGCCCUGGUCUGGGCUCUGCCUGGGAGAUGGAGCGGCUGGGCCAACCCGAGGGCUAUCAGCAGGUGGAAUCAGCAAGGCCUGAUGGCCGUGAGGAGUGACCCAGAAAAAGUUCGGACGUGGCCCUGUCUGCCAUCGUUUCCAGCAACCCAGAGGGGAGGCAAGUUGGAGAGGCCUCGAAGAGCAGUUUCGUUCCCAGGAGCGAGAGGCAGUGGGGAGCAUACCCAGAGUGUUAGCUAGGGAGACCCUUGGGGUCAAAGAGGGUGAGGAGAGAAGAG